GGGCCUGGCUGGCCGGUCCGCCUCACCGCGUGCACUGGUCCGGCCGGGCCUUUCCCUCUGCGGAACCCCAUGCCCUUCACUGGGUGUGGCGGGGAAACAGGACUUUUACUUUGAAAAAAUUAGAGUGCUCAAGGCAGGCCUAUGCUCGAAUACAUUAGCAUGGAAUAAUAGAAUAGGACGUGUGGUUCUAUUUUGUUGGUUUCUAGGACCGCCGUAAUGAUUAAUAGGGACAGUCGGGGGCAUCAGUAUUCAAUUGUCAGAGGUGAAAUUCUUGGAUUUAUUGAAGACUAACUACUGCGAAAGCAUUUGCCAAGGAUGUUUUCAUUAAUCAGGAACGAAAGUUAGGGGAUCGAAGACGAUCAGAUACCGUCGUAGUCUUAACCAUAAACUAUGCCGACUAGGGAUCGGACGAUGUUACAUUUUUGACGCGUUCGGCACCUUACGAGAAAUCAAAGUGCUUGGGCUCCAGGGGGAGUAUGGUCGCAAGGCUGAAACUUAAAGAAAUUGACGGAAGGGCACCACCAGGGGUGGAGCCUGCGGCUUAAUUUGACUCAACACGGGGAAACUCACCAGGUCCAGACACAAUGAGGAUUGACAGAUUGAGAGCUCUUUCUUGA
rnacentral:rRNA from 1 species